ACUCCUACGGGAGGCAGCAGUGGGGAAUUUUGGACAAUGGGGGCAACCCUGAUCCAGCCAUGCCGCGUGAGUGAAGAAGGCCUUCGGUUGUAAGACUCUUUCGGUCGGGGAAGGAAAUGGCAACGGCUAAUAUCCGUUGUUGAUGACGGUACCCGCAUAAGAAGCACCGGCUAACUACGUGCCAGCAGCCGCGGUAAUACGUAGGGUGCGAGCGUUAAUCGGAAUUACUGGGCGUAAAGCGUGCGCAGGCGGUUUCGUAAGACAGACGUGAAAUCCCCGGGCUCAACCUGGGAACUGCGUUUGUGACUGCGAGGCUAGAGUACGGCAGAGGGGGUAGAAUUCCACGUGUAGCAGUGAAAUGCGUAGAGAUGUGGAGGAAUACCGAUGGCGAAGGCAGCCCCCUGGGUUAGUACUGACGCUCAUGCACGAAAGCGUGGGAGCAAACAGGAUUAGAUACCCUGGUAGGAUAGCG
rnacentral:rRNA from 1 species